AUGCUUUGCUAAUUAUUUUCUGGGUCGCACUUUGUUGUGACACUGUUACGAGUGAAGCUAAAAGAAAAUGUUCCCCUCGCUAUCCUUUGCGCCUAAUAUUUGUGGUGUAUUUGGACGUUGGGGUACUACAUUA